rnacentral:rRNA from 1 species
GACGAACGCUGGCGGCGUGCCUAAUACAUGCAAGUCGAGCGAGUCACUGGGAGCUUGCUCCCGGUGGUUAGCGGCGGACGGGUGAGUAACACGUGGGCAACCUGCCUGUAAGACUGGGAUAACACCGGGAAACCGGUGCUAAUACCGGAUAAUCCUUUUCCUCUCAUGAGGAAAAGCUGAAAGUCGGUUUCGGCUGACACUUACAGAUGGGCCCGCGGCGCAUUAGCUAGUUGGUGAGGUAACGGCUCACCAAGGCGACGAUGCGUAGCCGACCGGAGGGGGUGGGCGGCCAACCUGGGACUGAGACACGGCCCAGACUCCUACGGGAGGCAGCAGUAGGGAAUCUUCCACAAUGGACGAAAGUCUGAUGGAGCAACGCCGCGUGAGCGAUGAAGGCCUUCGGGUCGUAAAGCUCUGUUGUUAGGGAAGAACAAGUACCGGAGUAACUACCGGUACCUUGACGGUACCUAACCAGAAAGCCACGGCUAACUACGUGCCAGCCGCCGCAGUAACAC